rnacentral:tRNA from 1 species
UGGGGGAUCGUUCAACGGUAGGACAACGGACUCUGACUCCGUGAAUCAAGGUUCAAAUCCUUGUCCCCCAGCCA